rnacentral:lncRNA from 1 species
AUGGUUGUCGGAGAUGCAGGUAGCGCUGCUGGCGGAAGAGUCUCCGGAGUCAGUAUCACAAGUAGUGAGUUGCAAGACGGAAGGGAAAACUCCGCUGGUUAUGGCCUGUCGAAAUGGGCACCUAGGGGUCGUCGAGUACCUAGUCGACAGGUGCAACGCCGACAUAGAAAAAGUGGACAAGGUAAUACUGGGGUUUCGCAUGAUCUCGCUUCUCUUUUUGCCGUCCAUCUCACAAUAAUCAUCGCAACGAGCUCUCUGGUAGUGGAACAGCGGUUUCAUUGUUAAAUUGCGCGCUUACUCGGAACAGCGGUCUGAAUGUUGAAAUUGAUAGAUGAAGCUGAAGACAAAGCACGGUUCCCUUGAACCAUUUUUAAUCAACUUUGAAUCAACUUAAAAUGAUUCUUCUUAUAUAUUGUACACAUUUGAGUAUCAUGAAACUAAUGCCAACAGGCCUGUUGAAAACUUUGGCUAGAGCAAAAAUAAGAGUUGUUCCUUUCAGAUAAUGUCUCAAAAAUCACGAUAAGCACGUCGGCAAACUCAGGAAUGCACUUCUAACUUCACAAUCUGCGUAAGAAAUUUUCGUUUUUUAAAGCUUCCCGCUUCAAAAAGGAUACUACGGCACAGGUGAACAUUGCGUUAGAGGAGUCGUUCCAUUGUCGGCAAUAUUCAUCAUGGCCGACGCCGAUCAGCCUAAACACGUGUACGGGACGAGAUAACACCUAACCAGGAUAAGACCAGAUAACAAUCGGCGUGUUUACGUUUAUAUUUUCUCGCCCAUGACCCUUCAUUGACCUUGAUCACUCCUCAAAUUACGCGCGGAACUGCGGAGGUCAUGAUGAAUAUGCCGACGAUGGAACAACUCCUCUAACAAAAUGUUCACCUGUACCGUAGUAUUGCUUUUGAAGCGGGAAACUCAAAAAAACGCAAAUUGCUCACGCAGAUUGUGAUGUGAGGUUAUGAGUGCAUUUCAGACUUUGCCGAUGCGCUCAUUGUGAUUUUUGAAACAUUUUCAAUGAGUAACAAUUCUUAACUCUGCUCUAGCAAAAGUUUGCUCCAGGUCCAUACUUGAUGGGUACAGCUGACUCAACAGAAGAGGCCGGACGAAGCAACGAGUCGGGGAAACACGAGCGGUUCGGGUUGACAGAAAGUUCUUAAAUCUACUCCAUCAACAGAAAGUAGAAUUUGAGAACUUUCUCCCACCCCCCAACCUUGUUUCUAUCUGUUAAAAUUUUCCUCCCGAAAUUGGCCCAAAAACAUUAAAAAUAAAAACAUAAAUAAAAUGAGUGCGUACCAACGAUUCAAUAAACGUUUGAAAGUCCCCGAAUUCGUCCUCUUCUC